AUGCUAGGAAGGCCAAGGACUGAGAGGAAGAAAGGGAAGGGAGAGAAACCCACUGCACCUAAGCACAUGAUGGGUAAAGUUGGCACAAUCAGUAGAUGCUCUGUUUGCAAAUGCACAUGUCACAACAAAACAAAGUGUACUGCUCCUAAACCAUCUGCUAGUAGUGCCCUAACUGCUAGGAAUUCUAGUGCAAAGCCAACUACAAAGGGCAGUUCUAGGCCAGCUACAAAGGCUAGUUCUAGGCCAACUACAAAGGGUCCUGUGCAACCCUCACAGGAAAGCACAAAUGUGAGUAGCAAGAGAAAAGCUUCAAAUGUUAGCAGUUUCAAGCCUUUCAAACCACCUCAGAUCAAGGUCACUGCUACCUCAAAGGCCAUCGUGAAGAAUGUUCAUGUCAAUGUUACUAGCAGCUCGGGAGUUACUAUGAAUUUCAGUUCUGGAGCUGCUAACAGCAACUUCACUGGAGCAAAUAAAAGAGCAAAAAAAGUGCCCAGCAAGCUGCUUGAGUGA
rnacentral:rRNA from 1 species